rnacentral:lncRNA from 1 species
UUAGGUUCAUGAAGUGUUGGGAGGUAUGAACAUCCAAGCAGUGGCUCCAAAUUUAUACAAAUGAUUCACUGAACCCUUCACUCAACCCUCUUGCACACGCUGACCCUGCCGAGGUCCACAGUGUGCACCCUGCAUUUGCCAUUCCUUUUCAACAUAUGUGCUUGAAAUUCAAAGGCAACAGAACUGGCGGGGGAUUGAUUUCUUACCUUUUGAAAACCAGAAGAGACUGGGGAGUGUCUGAUUGAGGGGGCUGGGCAAGAAUCAAGCAGGCUGGACCUCGCCAGCAGCGAACACCAGCCACAGAGGACUGCCCCUCUCUUCGGGACAGCCCAGCAUCAGUCCAUUUGCAAGGAGGGAUGCUGAGGGAUGCUCCUCUGCCACAUUCCCCUUCUUCCUCCUGAAGGAUGGGCAAUUGGCCAGAAAGCACCAGGGAGGCAGCAGGACAAAGCUUUGAGUUUAAUAUCAGAGUGAACUGAGUCCAAAUCCAGACCCCACCACUGAAGAGUUUGAUGUCUGGCAAGUG